CUCUCUUUUUCUAUCAUGAUUGUUAUGCUAUGAAGCUUUUCUUGUAUAAAGCUCAAUUUCUCCAUGACCACUGAAGUAAUCAUCCUGAUGCAUUCUUGCCAUAUGAAUGUUGAGACCGUGUUCAUUUUUGAAAUCUCCCUUCUGACAGACAUAUUCCACAGGAUCAGCUGAGAUGUUAUUUCACUGGAUUAUUUAAUGGAUAGGCUUAUUGGGCAUAUAGUUGGAUAUCUCUGUCAUCAACAUGGAAGAUAUGGUUUGUUCCUAACCAUCUAUAAUCAAUUCUCUAUGAAGUUCAGACUGUCUGCUGUUCCUUUGGAAAUACACAGUUAGUCAACCAACAUAGAAACACACAAACUUGAAGGUAAAGAUUCAAUGAGAUACAAUUGAUUCUCUAGUGAGGGCUUAUAGAAAUGAUCUAGGUCUACUCUCAGAAUGGUGAAAGACUUUCAGAUUAUGCAAAGACUAACAGAAUAUCCUCUCUUGGAACACUGAAACAAGAAACUCAAACAGAAUGGGGGAUUUAAGAAGAACAUAGAUAAAUAUGAUUUCCAACCAAUUUAACCAGUACGAUCAUAGACUGUGGUUUACAGGAUGACA